rfam:Ovis aries breed Texel chromosome 12, whole genome shotgun sequence.
UCCCUGGUAGCUCAGCUGGUAAAGAAUCUGCCUGCAAAGCAGGGGACCCUGGUUCGAUUCCUGGGUUGGGAC